GGAGGUGGAUAUACUGGUAGAGCACAUGCUUAGCAUGCAUGAGGUCCUGAGUUCAAUCCCCAGUACCUCCA
rnacentral:tRNA from 1 species